UUUUUCACCAGGAAGCCGACAAAGGUGAGAAAGAGGAAGCCGGCGACAGCGAUGAUGCCUGUGAGCCACUGAGGCAGCAGACGCUCGCUGACCUGAGUCUGAUCUGAGACACAAACGCAGAGGUCAAAGAGGAGGACGGCUGCAGUCAGAUUCACAGCUGCUAUAGGCCCAAACCGGGACAGUGUCCUACAGUAUGAGACAGGUGGAGGAGGGUUUGGCUCUGAGCAUGCUCAUGACGUUCAGGUUGAACUGGGCCGGGUUGUAGUCCUGGAGGUCGGACUCAGA